AGCUUCACCGGGUCGACGCCACGGGUGACCACCAGGUAGUCGCGCAGGGCGAUGCCGUGGCGGGCCUC
rnacentral:sRNA from 1 species